rnacentral:rRNA from 1 species
GUCCACGCCGUAAACGGUGGGCACUAGGUGUGGGUCCUUAUCAACGGGAUCCGUGCCGUCGCUAACGCAUUAAGUGCCCCGCCUGGGGAGUACGGCCGCAAGGCUAAAACUCAAAGGAAUUGACGGGGGCCCCGCACAAGCAGCGGAGCAUGUUGCUUAAUUCGAGGCAACGCGAAGAACCUUACCUGGGUUUGACAUGUACGGAAAAGCCAUAGAGAUAUGGUGUCCUUCGGGCCGGUACACAGGUGGUGCAUGGCUGUCGU